rnacentral:rRNA from 1 species
GGUGUGACUGCGUACCUUUUGUAUAAUGGGUCAGCGACUUAUAUUCUGUAGCAAGGUUAACCGUAUAGGGGAGCCGCAGGGAAACCGAGUCUUAACUGGGCGUUAAGUUGCAGGGUAUAGACCCGAAACCCGGUGAUCUAGCCAUGGGCAGGUUGAAGGUUGGGUAACACUAACUGGAGGACCGAACCGACUAAUGUUGAAAAAUUAGCGGAUGACUUGUGGCUGGGGGUGAAAGGCCAAUCAAACCGGGAGAUAGCUGGUUCUCCCCGAAAGCUAUUUAGGUAGCGCCUCGUGAAUUCAUCUUCGGGGGUAGAGCACUGUUUCGGCUAGGGGGUCAUCCCGACUUACCAACCCGAUGCAAACUACGAAUACCGAAGAAUGUUAUCACGGGAGACACACGGCGGGUGCUAACGUCCGUCGUGAAGAGGGAAACAACCCAGACCGCCAGCUA